CCUACGGGAGGCAGCAGUGAGGAAUAUUGGUCAAUGGGCGCGAGCCUGAACCAGCCAAGCAGCGUGAAGGAUGACGGCCCUACGGGUUGUAAACUUCUUUUAUAAAGGAAUAAAGUGAGACACGUGUGCCUUUUUGUAUGUACUUUAUGAAUAAGGAUCGGCUAACUCCGUGCCAGCAGCCGCGGUAAUACGGAGGAUCCGAGCGUUAUCCGGAUUUAUUGGGUUUAAAGGGUGAGUAGAUGGGUUGUUAAGUCAGUUGUGAAAGGUUGGGGCUCAACCGUAAAAUUGCAAUUGAUACUGGCAGUCUUGAGUACAGUUGAGGUAGGCGGAAUUCGUGGUGUAGCGGUGAAAUGCUUAGAUAUCACGAAGAACACCGAUUGCGAAGGCAGCUUACUAAACUGUAACUGACGUUGAGGCACGAAAGUGUGGGUAUCAAACAGGAUUAGAUACCCCGGUAGUC
rnacentral:rRNA from 1 species